GUAUAAUAUUAUAAUAUCCAUUCAAAAAAAAUAAAAGGGUUUUAUGAUAAUAAACAUAGAUCCCUAGAGAUCUACCAAAGGUGCACAGGUAAGUGUGUGUGUAAGCAUAGCUUGCAUCAAUAAUGAUCCUUCCGCAGGUUCACCUACGGAAA
rnacentral:misc_RNA from 1 species